rnacentral:sRNA from 1 species
GCCCCAUGAUGUAUUUCCAUUCAUUUUGAUGGCAAAGAUUUGAGGAUAAUGAAAGAUUAAAGGCA